CAGUCGCCACGGUAAUACGUAGGGUGCGAGCGUUAAUCGGAAUUACUGGGCGUAAAGCGAGCGCAGACGGUUAUUUAAGCAGGAUGUGAAAUCCCCGGGCUUAACCUGGGAACUGCGUUCUGAACUGGAUAGCUAGAGUGUGUCAGAGGGGGGUAGAAUUCCACGUGUAGCAGUGAAAUGCGUAGAGAUGUGGAGGAAUACCGAUGGCGAAGGCAGCCCCCUGGGAUAACACUGACGUUCAUGCUCGAAAGCGUGGGUAGCAAACAGGAUUAGAUACCCCCGUAGUCCCUGUCUCUUAUAC
rnacentral:rRNA from 1 species